GUAUUGCAUAAUUUUAAACGAGAAGGGCGAGUGAGACGCUGCUUACGCGCCACAACUUUUAUACCCGGUACUCAGUAGUACAUCUAUAUGUAGAAGA